rnacentral:ncRNA from 1 species
CUUAUCAAGAGUGGCGGAGGAAACAGGUCCUUUGAAGCCCGGCAACCGGUUUUAAACUAUGGUGCUAAAUCCUGCGGAAGUUUUAUCCGAAAGAUGAGG